AGUGAACGCUGGCGGUAGGCCUAACACAUGCAAGUCGAACGGCAGCACAGUAAGAGCUUGCUCUUACGGGUGGCGAGUGGCGGACGGGUGAGGAAUACAUCGGAAUCUACUUUUUCGUGGGGGAUAACGUAGGGAAACUUACGCUAAUAUCGCAUACGACCUACGGGGGAAAGCAGGGGAUCUUCGGACCUUGCGCGAUUGAAUGAGCCGAUGUCGGAUUAGCUAGUUGGGGGGGUAAAGGCCCACGCAGGCGACGAUACGUAGCUGGUCUGAGAGGAGGGUCGGCCGCACUGGAACGGAGACACGGUCCAGACUCCUACGGGAGGCAGCAGUGGGGAAUAUUGGACAAUGGGGGCAAGCCUGAUCCAGCCAUACCGCGUGGGUGAAGAAGGCGUUCGGGUUGUAAAGCCCUUUUGUUGGGAAAGAAAAGCAGCAGGUUAAUACCCCGCUGUUCUGACGGUACCCAAAGAAUAAGCACCGGCUAACUUCGUG
rnacentral:rRNA from 1 species